GUGGGGAAUCUUCCGCAAUGGACGAAAGUCUGACGGAGCAACGCCGCGUGAGUGAUGAAGGUCUUCGGAUUGUAAAACUCUGUUGUCAGGGACGAAUGUGCGAACGUUGAAUAAGCGUUUGUAUUGACGGUACCUGACGAGGAAGCCACGGCUAACUACGUGCCAGCAGCCGCGGUAAUACGUAGGUGGCAAGCGUUGUCCGGAAUUAUUGGGCGUAAAGAGCAUGUAGGCGGGCUUUUAAGUCCGACGUGAAAAUGCGGGGCUUAACCCCGGAUGGCGUUGGAUACUGGAAGUCUUGAGUGCAGGAGAGGAAAGGGGAAUUCCCAGUGUAGCGGUGAAAUGCGCAGAUAUUGGGAGGAACACCAGUGGCGAAGGCGCCUUUCUGGACUGUGUCUGACGCUGAGAUGCGAAAGCCAGGGUAGCGAACGGGAUUAGAAACCCCUGUAGUCC
rnacentral:rRNA from 1 species